GGUGAGGUAACAGCUCACCAAGGCGAUGACGGGUAGCCGGACUGAGAGGUUGGCCGGUCACACUGGGACUGAGACACUGCCCAGACUCCUACGGGAGGCUGCAGUCGAGAAUCUUCCGCAAUGGGCGCAAGCCUGACGGAGCGACGCCGCGUGGGGGAUGAAGGCCUUCGGGUUGUAAACCCCUGUCACGAGUUAUGAAACGCCAUGCGUUAAUACCGUAUGGUCUGACAAAGGCUCGAGAGGAAGUCAUGGCUAACUCCGUGCCAGCAGCCGCGGUAAUACGGAGAUGGCAAGCGUUGCUCGGAAUCACUGGGCAUAAAGGGCGUCUAGGCGGAUCGACAAGUCGGCUGUGAAAGUCCUCGGCUCACCCGAGGAAGUGCAUCCGAAACUGCCGGUCUUGAGGACGAGAGGGGAGAGUGGAACUCCUGGUGGAGCGGUGAAAUGCGUAGAUAUCAGGAGGAACGCCGUGGCGAAAGCGACUCUCUGGCUCGUUCCUGACGCUGAAGCGCGAAAGCUAGGGGAGCGAACGGGAUUAGAUACCCCGGUAGUCCUAGCCGUAAACGAUGAGCACUAAGUAGUGGCGAAUCGAUGUCGUCAUUGCCGCAGCUAAUGUGUUAAGUGCUCCGCCUGGGGAGUAUGGUCGCAAGGCUAAAACUCAAAGGAAUUGACGGGGGCUCACACAAGCGGUGGAGGAUGUUGCUUAAUUCGAUUCAACGCGAAGAACCUUACCUGGGCUUGACAUCACGGUGGUAGGACCCUGAAAGGGGAACGACCCGGGGCAACCUGGGAGCCGCGACAGGUGUUGCAUGGCUGUCGUCAGCUCGUGCCGUGAGGUGUUGGGUUAAGUCCCGUAACGAGCGAAACCCUUGUCGUUAGUUGCCAGCGAGUAAUGUCGGGGACUCUAACGAGACUGCCGGUGUCAAACCGGAGGAAGGUGGGGACGACGUCAAGUCAUCAUGGCCCUUACGCCCAGGGCUGCAAACGUCCUACAAUGGCGCGUACAAAGGGAAGCGAACUCGCAAGAGCAAGCCAAUCCCAUAAAGCGCGUCUCAGUUCGGAUUGUGGGCUGAAAUUCGCCCACAUGAAGUCGGAAUCGCUAGUAAUCGCGGAUCAGCAUGCCGCGGUGAAUAUGUUCCUGAGCCUUGUACACACCGCCCGUCAAGCCACGGAAGCCGGGAGUGCCCGAAGCCCGUGACCUAACCUUUGGAAGGAGCGGUCGACGGUAAGCCCGGUGACUGGGACUAAGUCGUAACAAGGUA
rnacentral:rRNA from 1 species